rfam:Toxocara canis scaffold729, whole genome shotgun sequence.
CGGGCAGUAGCUCAACGGUGGAGCCCCUUCGUACGCGGGAAGACCUGGGUUCGAUUCCCGGCUGCUUAC